rnacentral:rRNA from 1 species
UACGAGGGGAGCAAGCGUUGUUCGGAUUUACUGGGCGUAAAGGGCGCGUAGGCGGUCGUGACAAGUCACUUGUGAAAUCUCCGGGCUUAACUCGGAACGGUCAAGUGAUACUGUCGGACUAGAGUACAGAAGGGGCAACUGGAAUUCUCGGUGUAGCGGUGAAAUGCGUAGAUAUCGAGAGGAACACCUGCGGCGAAGGCGGGUUGCUGGGCUGAUACUGACGCUGAUGCGCGAAAGCGUGGGGAGCAAACAGG